rnacentral:rRNA from 1 species
UACGGAGGGAGCAAGCGUUACUCGGAAUCAUUGGGCGUAAAGGGCGCGUAGGCGAUUCGGUAAGUCUCAUGUGAAAGCCCACAGCCUAACUGUGGAAGUGCAUGAGAUACUGUCGAAUUUGAGUUCAGGAGAGGAAGGCAGAAUUCCCGGUGUAGCGGUGAAAUGCGUAGAUAUUGGGAGGAACACCAGUGGCGAAGGCGGCUCACUGGACCGGAACUGACGCUGAGGCGCGAAAGCGUGGGGAGCAAACGGG